AUUGAACGCUGGCGGCAGGCCUAACACAUGCAAGUCGGACGGUAGCACAGAGAGCUUGCUCUUGGGUGACGAGUGGCGGACGGGUGAGUAAUGUCUGGGGAUCUGCCCGAUAGAGGGGGAUAACCACUGGAAACGGUGGCUAAUACCGCAUAACGUCGCAAGACCAAAGAGGGGGACCCUCGGGCCUCUCACUAUCGGAUGAACCCAGAUGGGAUUAGCUAGUAGGCGGGGUAAUGGCCCACCUAGGCGACGAUCCCUAGCUGGUCUGAGAGGAUGACCAGCCACACUGGAACUGAGACACGGUCCAGACUCCUACGGGGGGCAGCAGUGGGGAAUAUUGCACAAUGGGCGCAAGCCUGAUGCAGCCAUGCCGCGUGUAUAAGAAGGCCUUCGGGUUGUAAAGUACUUUCAGCGGGGAGGAAGGCGGUGCGGUUAAUAACCGCGUCGAUUGACGUUACCCGCAGAAGAAGCACCGGCUAACUCCGUGCCAGCCGCCGCCGUAA
rnacentral:rRNA from 1 species